rnacentral:lncRNA from 1 species
UUUUAUGUGGUACAAGAGUUUGUGGAAAUAAGAAGAGCUUACACUUGAGGGGGAGUAUUAUGGACUCACACUUGAGAGGGGAUGUUGGGAAUGUAACAAGUGUGAGUAGUAUGGAUAAUAGUUCUACAUUGGUGAAUAUGUGGUAUAUCUCUCACAAAAGUGUUACUCUAAAAGAAGAAGUUUCACAAUAUUUAAUGCUCCAUAGUAAAAAAUUCCCUCAACAAAGUGGUGUGCUCAUGUCAAGUGGAUGAAGGUCGCUUAUAGAAAAAAGUGGGUAUAAAUUGGACGUGAAAUAUGAGAAAGGAGAAGGAAAAUCAAAGACAAAAUGAUUUAGUGUGAAUGAUACAUCAUAACAUAUAGUGAGCUUUCGACAUCUAAUGGCAGGUGAACGAGAAUCUUGUAUGGGGGCAAAAAAGAAUAUUUCCUUCAUCUUUAUUAGACAACCAAACAAAGCAACAAUGUUUGAAAAUUGUGACUUCAUCGUUGUUUCUUUAUGGUUUAAAUCAACAAUUCCAAACAAUGUAUAUAUGUUUUAUUAAACUCGAGUUAACAUAGAAAUUAUACUUAAAUGUACUUUUG